GACGAACGCUGGCGGCGUGCCUAACACAUGCAAGUCGAGCGGGGUUGAGGCGAGAGGUAACUCGAGCUUCUACCUAGCGGCGGACGGGUGAGUAACGCGUGGGCAACCUGCCUCAAGGUUUGGGAUAACAGCCCGAAAGGGCUGCUAAUACCGGAUAUGCCUAUGGCCUCGCAUGGGGCUAUGAGCAAAGGGGAAACCCGCCUUGAGAUGGGCCCGCGUCCCAUCAGCUAGUUGGUGAGGUAACAGCUCACCAAGGCGACGACGGGUAGCCGGCCUGAGAGGGUGACCGGCCACACUGGGACUGAGACACGGCCCAGACUCCUACGGGGGGCAGCAGUGGGGGAUCUUGCACAAUGGGCGAAAGCCUGAUGCAGCGACGCCGCGUGAGCGAAGAAGGCCUUCGGGUUGUAAAGCUCUGUCUGGAGGGACGGAACAAAAUGACGGUACCUCCGGAGGAAGCCACGGCUAACUACGUG
rnacentral:rRNA from 1 species